rnacentral:rRNA from 1 species
UACAGAGGUCUCGAGCGUUAGGCGGAAUCACUGGGCUUAAAGCGUGUGUAGGCGGAUCGGUAAGUACCUUGUGAAAUCCCACAGCUUAACUGUGGAACUGCUUGGUAUACUGCCAGUCUUGAGCCUGCUAGGGGCUACCGGAACAAAUGGUGGAGCGGUGAAAUGCGUAGAUAUCAUUUGGAACGCCAAUGGUGAAAACAGGUAGCUGGGGCUGUGCUGACGCUGAGACACGAAAGCCAGGGGAGCAAACGGG